UCAGGCUGAUGGUAGAGCCUGUGUAAGCGUCAAGGGAGUUAGAGUAGUGAAGUACGCUUUAACAAUUCAGAGGCGUGAUGCGGACAGAAAACAAGUAUGGAAGCGAUCGAAUCCACACUGGCGAGAAAAGCUGCUACUAAGCGAAGAGGUGCCCGUACCGCAAACCGACACAGGUAGGUGAGGAGAGAAUCCUAAGAUGAGCGGGAUAACCCUUGUUAAGGAACUCGGCAAAAUGACUCCGUAACUUAGGGAAAAGGAGUGCCUCGAAAGAGGUCGCAGAGAAUAGGCCCAAGCGACUGUUUAUCAAAAACAUAGGUCUGUGCAAAAUCGAGAGAUGAAGUAUACGGGCUGACGCCUGCCCAGUGCCGGAAGGUUAAGGGGAACUGUUAGCGCAAGCGAAGCAGGGAACUUAAGCCCCGGUGAACGGCGGCCGUAACAAUAACGGUCCUAAGGUAGCGAAAUUCCUUGUCAGGUAAGUUCUGACCCGCACGAAUGGCGUAACGAUUUGGGCGCUGUCUCAACAAGGGACCCGGCGAAAUUGUAGUAUGGGUGAAGAUGCCCAUUACCCGCGAUAGGACGGAAAGACCCCGUAGAGCUUUACUGCAGCUUGGCAUUGGAUUUUGAAAUGAGAUGUACAGGAUAGGUGGGAGACUAAGAAAUGCGGACGCCAGUACGCACGGAGUCGACCUUGGGAUACCACUCUUCUUAUUUCGGGAUUCUAACGAUGUGCCGUAAACCGGGCAUCGGACAGUACCAGGCAGGCAGUUUGACUGGGGCGGUCGCCUCCGAAAGAGUAACGGAGGCGCCCAAAGGUCUCCUCAGCAUGGUCGGAAAUCAUGCAUUAGAGUGUAAAGGCAUAAGGAGGCUUGACUGCGAGAGAGACAUCUCGAGCAGGUACGAAAGUAGGGCUUAGUGAUCCGGCGGUAGAGAGUGGAAUUGCCGUCGCUCAACGGAUAAAAGCUACCUCGGGGAUAACAGGCUUAUCUCCCCCAAGAGUCCACACCGACGGGGAGGUUUGGCACCUCGAUGUCGGCUCGUCGCAUCCUGGGGCUGAAUUCGGUCCCAAGGGUUUGGCUGUUCGCCAAUUAAAGCGGCACGCGAGCUGGGUUCAGAACGUCGUGAGACAGUUCGGUCCCUAUCCAUCGUGGGCGUAGGAAGUUUGAGAGGAGCUGUCCCUAGUACGAGAGGACCGGGAUGGACGCACCACUGGUGUACCGGUUGUUCUGCCAAGAGCACCGCCGGGUAGCUAAGUGCGGACGGGAUAAACGCUGAAGGCAUCUAAGCGUGAAGCCCCCCCCAAGAUAAGACUUCCCAUUCUUUAAGAAGUAAGACCCCUUGUAGACUACAAGGUUGAUAGGUCACAGGUGGAAGUGCAGUAAUGUAUGCAGCUGAGUGAUACUAAUAGGUCGAGGGCUUGAUUA
rnacentral:rRNA from 1 species